rnacentral:rRNA from 1 species
GAAUUUCUAUUUUUAGUAUGGCCUAUAUGAUGGCGAAUUUCAAGCAUAGGGGAAGGGCGCAAAGGUGGGGUAGGUAAAGGUUUCCCAGCUUCAUAUUUCCACAUUUGUAUGAUACAAUGUCGAGAGGGAGGGAAUAUAAAAAGACAUGCCCCUGCUUGAUAAUAUUCACUACCAGUUGGUUCUCGUUUAGAUAGGACAUCAAUAAAAUCUAUGAAGAUUGGAAUCCCCGCCUGUCUUCUUUCCUUCUUUUGUACGCAGAGGACUUGGAUGUCAACCUCGUUCAUGUUCCAUAAAGGAAAGUUAAGUCUCCGCCAUACGGAACAAGAUCUUGAUAAAUGACUUUGACAGUCGACAUGCGUGUCGCUCUUUCCUUUGCUGCCUGCACUUGAUAAAGUUGGUUUGGCUACUCUUUCUAUAACGUUCUUCUUUUGAUCUCUCAUAAAGCAAGUAGGGCACCAAGGUAUGGCUCAUCAAAGCCAACUUGGCCAUCAUGGCUCCAUAUUGCAACAAUCCUACUCACAUUAGCUGCUGACACCACCAUCAAAACUAAAGUAGAUUGUUGAGCUUAUAGCCUUUUAUUUUAUGCUGUGAGAGUAGGGAUCACAUUAGGCAUAUAUAUCUAUGCUGAAUAAAAUAUUCAGGCGACAAUGUUCUAUCCUUUUCUUGUUACAACAGUUGUAAAUGCCUCUUGUUUUUGUGGUAUUCACUCACCUUCUUUUUUUUAUUAAAAAUAGUAUUUUACUCCUACUCUCACAUCGAACGAGAAAGAGAUCUAAAGCAUCUUGAAGAAAGUCAAGCAGGAAUAGAUAUGCCUGCCCCAAGAUAUAAUUCAUUUCUAUGCUUUGCUAUUAUAGGAGUACUCUACAACUUGUUUUUCACAUUGGCUAUUCCUUACUGAUUGGCAUCUCAAAACAAAAUCUUUCGUGGUCUCUCCCAGAAUUGGAUUUGGAUAGAGAAUAGUCGGGAAAGUGGGAGGGGUCUCAGAUGUAGUAAGUGUUCAUUCAGCAUAACAACAGACUGGCUUGACAAAGGGAAGGCCUUGACUUGAAUCACCUGAAGUUUGCAGGGCGGGAACAUAUCUCUUGGAGGGUUAGAUUGGAGCGAAAUGCCUAAUGUGUUCCUUGUCCUUAUGUGCUUUUCUGUCACAUACUUUGUUUCUACGGGCCUAUUAUCAAGUGUCAACCAAACCAAUGUUGAAUGCCUUUCUUGAUGAUAUCUGUAGGGGAAUAGAAUCUGUUGUUUGAUUUUUGAUAAUGGGAAUAGAAUCCAUUCUUUGCCUUGAUUGACAACAAAGGGAAGGAGUAUAGGCACCUCCCUUCAUAGCGGAAGGCCUUUACUUGAAGCAAGCAAAAGGCUGGACUAGAGUGGGAAUAAUAUCAUCUUUUGUUUUUGAAUCAUCUGGCUUUCCUAGCGUUCUUACUUAGAACUUGACUUGCCUCCACUUUCCUUUGACUAGAUUGAAUAGGGGACUUUCUUCUGCUUCCUCUUUCAGGUUAAUAAGCCAGGACACCGACUGAGCUUCCGUCGUUCCGAUCAUAUGAUUCUAGGUAGGCGAGUUCUUAUAUGUCAGAUGCUUUAGAGACCUCGACCCAUGAAUACUCACAAGGAGUUUGAUCACGACUUCUAGUCUCCUCCGGCCUAGGCUAAAACACACCAUGAGCUAGAACCAAGGUGCCAGUUGAGUCCAUAGGUGUGCUAUGCCUAACGGUAACAUCACUAAGCUAUACCCAGAAAUACAAACUAAUAAAUCCCAAAAUUAGUUACCAUUUCCAGAGAGGACAGGUGAUAGGAUUGGAGGCAUAUACCAAAUAGAACAAAAUUUCUUCAGCAUUACAUCAGAAUCACCCUCCUUCACUCUCCAGUGUCAUUCCAACUAUGGAGUACCAACAAUAUCUAUCCGAACAGUGCCUUUCAGUAGUAUUGUAUAGUACCAUAAGGUAGCUUGAGUUUGGCGAGGUGUCAAUGUCGGGUAAGUUCUGACUUGCACAGAAGGUGUAACGAUCUGGGCACUGUCUUGGAGAGAGGCUCGGUGAAAUAGACAUGUCUGUGAAGAUGCGGACUACCUGCACCUGGACAGAAAGACCCUAUGAAGCUUUACUAUUACCUUGGAUUGGCUUUGGGCCUUUCUACACAGCUUAGGUGUAGGGCAAAGAAAGCCUCCUUCCGGGGGGCCCCAAGCCAUCAGUGAGAUACCACUCUAGAAGAUCUAGAAUUCUAACCUUGUGUCAGGAUCUACGGGCCAAGGGACAGUCUCAGGUAGACAGUUUCUAUAGGGCAUAGGGCUCCCAAAGGGUAACGAAGGCAUGCAAAGGUUUCCUUUGGUUUGAUGGAGAUUGGCCCUCGAGUGCAAAUACAGAAGGGAGUUUGACUGCAAGACCUACUCAUCGAGUAGGAACGAAAGUAACCCUUAGUGAUCCGAUAGUGUCAUGUGGAAGGGACGUCGCUCAAUGGAUUAGAGUUACUCUAGGGUUAACAGGAUGAUCUUCCCCAAGAGUUCACAUUGACAGGAAGGUUUGGCACCUCGAUGUCGGCUGUUCACCACCUGGGGCUAUAGUAUGUUCCAAGGGUUGGGCUAUUCGCCCAUUAAAGUAGUAUAAUGCGUGAGCUGGGUUCAGAACGUCGUGAGAUAGUUCGGUCCAUAUCCAGUGCAGGCAUUAGUGCAUUGAGAGGACCUUUCCCUAGUACGAGAGCACGGGGAAGAAUGCACUUUUAGUGUACUAGUUAUUGUGCUAACGGUAAACGAUGGGUAGCCAAGUGAGGAGUGGAUAACUGUUGAAAGCAUCUAAGUAGUAAGCCCACCCCAAGAUGAGUGCUCUCCUAUUCUGACUUCCCAAGAGCCUCUGAUAGCACAGCCGAGGUUGAGACGUGUUCUUUGCCCCUACGGGGAUGGAGCGAAAGAAGUAUUAGGAAUCCAAGAUAAGUUCACGGCGAGACGAGCCUUUUAUCAUUACGAUAGGUAUCAAGUGGAACUGUAGUGAUGUAUGCAGCUGAGGCAUCCUAACAGACCGAGAGAUUUGAAA